rnacentral:rRNA from 1 species
AUUGAACGCUGGCGGCAGGCCUAACACAUGCAAGUCGAACGGUAACAGGAAACAGCUUGCUGUUUCGCUGACGAGUGGCGGACGGGUGAGUAAUGUCUGGGAAACUGCCUGAUGGAGGGGGAUAACUACUGGAAACGGUAGCUAAUACCGCAUAACGUCGCAAGACCAAAGAGGGGGACCCUCGGGCCUCUUGCCAUCGGAUGUGCCCAGAUGGGAUUAGCUUGUUGGUGGGGUAACGGCUCACCAAGGCGACGAUCCCUAGCUGGUCUGAGAGGAUGACCAGCCACACUGGAACUGAGACACGGUCCAGACUCCUACGGGAGGCAGCAGUGGGGAAUAUUGCACAAUGGGCGCAAGCCUGAUGCAGCCAUGCCGCGUGUAUGAAGAAGGCCUUCGGGUUGUAAAGUACUUUCAGCGGGGAGGAAGGGAGUAAAGUUAAUACCUUUGCUCAUUGACGUUACCCGCAGAAGAAGCACCGGCUAACUCCGUGCCAGCCGCCGCCGUAACAC